GACGAACGCUGGCGGCGUGCUUAACACAUGCAAGUCGAGCGGAAAGGCCCUUCGGGGUACUCGAGCGGCGAACGAGUGAGUAACACGUGAGUAACCUGCCCCUGACUCUGGGAUAAGCCCGGGAAACUGGGUCUAAUACCGGAUACGACCGCCCCCGGCAUCGGGUGGGGGUGGCAAGUUUUUUCGGUUGGGGAUGGGCUCGCGGCCUAUCAGCUUGUUGGUGGGGUAGUGGCCUACCAAGGCGACGACGGGUAGCCGGCCUGAGAGGGCGACCGGCCACACUGGGACUGAGACACGGCCCAGACUCCUACGGGAGGCAGCAGUGGGGAAUAUUGCGCAAUGGGCGGAAGCCUGACGCAGCGACGCCGCGUGGGGGAUGACGGCCUUCGGGUUGUAAACCUCUUUCAGCAGGGACGAAGUUGACGUGUACCUGCAGAAGAAGCGCCGGCUAACUACGUGCCAGCAGCCGCCGUAAGAC
rnacentral:rRNA from 1 species